GUGGCCAUAGCUCAGCUGGUUAGAGUGCCUGACUGUGGAUCAGGAGGUCGAGGGUUCGAAUCCCUCUGGCCACCCA
rnacentral:tRNA from 1 species